rnacentral:rRNA from 1 species
UUUAUGGAGAGUUUGAUCCUGGCUCAGGAUGAACGCUGGCGGCGUGCCUAAUACAUGCAAGUCGAGCGAACGGACGAGAAGCUUGCUUCUCUGAUGUUAGCGGCGGACGGGUGAGUAACACGUGGAUAACCUACCUAUAAGACUGGGAUAACUUCGGGAAACCGGAGCUAAUACCGGAUAAUAUUUUGAACCGCAUGGUUCAAAAGUGAAAGACGGUCUUGCUGUCACUUAUAGAUGGAUCCGCGCUGCAUUAGCUAGUUGGUAAGGUAACGGCUUACCAAGGCAACGAUGCAUAGCCGACCUGAGAGGGUGAUCGGCCACACUGGAACUGAGACACGGUCCAGACUCCUACGGGAGGCAGCAGUAGGGAAUCUUCCGCAAUGGGCGAAAGCCUGACGGAGCAACGCCGCGUGAGUGAUGAAGGUCUUCGGAUCGUAAAACUCUGUUAUUAGGGAAGAACAUAUGUGUAAGUAACUGUGCACAUCUUGACGGUACCUAAUCAGAAAGCCACGGCUAACUACGUGCCAGCAGCCGCGGUAAUACGUAGGUGGCAAGCGUUAUCCGGAAUUAUUGGGCGUAAAGCGCGCGUAGGCGGUUUUUUAAGUCUGAUGUGAAAGCCCACGGCUCAACCGUGGAGGGUCAUUGGAAACUGGAAAACUUGAGUGCAGAAGAGGAAAGUGGAAUUCCAUGUGUAGCGGUGAAAUGCGCAGAGAUAUGGAGGAACACCAGUGGCGAAGGCGACUUUCUGGUCUGUAACUGACGCUGAUGUGCGAAAGCGUGGGGAUCAAACAGGAUUAGAUACCCUGGUAGUCCACGCCGUAAACGAUGAGUGCUAAGUGUUAGGGGGUUUCCGCCCCUUAGUGCUGCAGCUAACGCAUUAAGCACUCCGCCUGGGGAGUACGACCGCAAGGUUGAAACUCAAAGGAAUUGACGGGGACCCGCACAAGCGGUGGAGCAUGUGGUUUAAUUCGAAGCAACGCGAAGAACCUUACCAAAUCUUGACAUCCUUUGACAACUCUAGAGAUAGAGCCUUCCCCUUCGGGGGACAAAGUGACAGGUGGUGCAUGGUUGUCGUCAGCUC